UAUAACAUGAGAGUUCGAUCCUGGCUCAGGAUGAACGCUGGCGGCGUGCUUAACACAUGCAAGUCGAGCGAAGCGAUUAAGAGGAAGUUUUCGGAUG
rnacentral:rRNA from 1 species